rnacentral:rRNA from 1 species
GAGAGAGUUCAAGAGUACGUGAAACCGUUCANGGGUAAACCCNAGAAACCCAAAAGAUCGAACGUGGAGAUUCAUCGUCAGCGACGCUGGCUUCGCNUCGGUGGGCGAUGUCCCGCGGGGCCUCGCGGCUCGCAGCGCGGACACGCUGCCGUGCGUCGAUGUCCGGCGUUNGUCGUCGUGCACUUCUCCCCUAGUAGAACGUCGCGACCC